rnacentral:rRNA from 1 species
GUGCCAGCAGCCGCGGUAAUACGUAGGUCCCAAGCGUUAUCCGGAGUUACUGGGCGUAAAGUGUCCGUAGCCUGAUAUUUAAGUCCAUUUUCAAAUAUCUCAGCUUAACUGAGAGAAGGGAAUAGAUACUGGAUAUCUGGAGGUCUUUGGAGGUUAGUGGAAUUUCCGGUGGAGCGGUGAAAUGCGUUGAUAUCGGAAAGAAUGCCGAAAGCGAAAGCAGCUAACUACAGAGAACCUGACGGUGAGGGACGAAAGUUUGGGGAGCAAACGGGAUUAGAAACCCCUGUAGUCC